UACAGAGGGUGCAAGCGUUAAUCGGAAUUACUGGGCGUAAAGCGCACGUAGGCGGAUUGUUAAGUCGGGGGUGAAAUCCUGAGGCUCAACCUCAGAACUGCCUUCGAUACUGGCAAUCUCGAGUCCGGAAGAGGUUGGUGGAACAGCUAGUGUAGAGGUGAAAUUCGUAGAUAUCGGGAGGAACACCGGUGGCGAAGGCGGCCCGCUGGACAGCGCCUGACGCUGAGACGCGAAAGCGUGGGUAGCAAACAGG
rnacentral:rRNA from 1 species